AGAGUUUGAUCCUGGCUCAGAUUGAACGCUGGCGGCAUGCCUUACACAUGCAAGUCGAACGGCAGCACGGACUUCGGUCUGGUGGCGAGUGGCGAGCGGGUGAGUAAAGCAUCGGAACGUACCCGAUCGUGGGGGAUAACGCAGCGAAAGCUGCGCUAAUACCGCAUAAGAUCCACGGAUGAAAGCGGGGGACUCGCAAGAGCCUCGCGCGAGCGGAGCGGCCGAUGUCAGAUUAGGUAGUUGGUGGGGUAAAGGCCCACCAAGCCGACGAUCUGUAGCUGGUCUGAGAGGACGACCAGCCACACUGGGACUGAGACACGGCCCAGACUCCUACGGGAGGCAGCAGUGGGGAAUUUUGGACAAUGGGCGCAAGCCUGAUCCAGCCAUGCCGCGUGCAGGAAGAAGGCCUUCGGGUUGUAAACUGCUUUUGUACGGAACGAAAAAGCCCUGGCCAAUACCCGGGGCUGAUGACGGUACCGUAAGAAUAGGCACCGGCUAACUACGUGCCAGCAGCCGCGGUAAUACGUAGGGUGCGAGCGUUAAUCGGAAUUACUGGGCGUAAAGCGUGCGCAGGCGGUUUUGUAAGACAGAGGUGAAAUCCCCGGGCUCAACCUGGGAACUGCCUUUGUGACUGCAAAGCUGGAGUGCGGCAGAGGGGGAUGGAAAUUCCGCGUGUAGCAGUGAAAUGCGUAGAUAUGCGGAGG
rnacentral:rRNA from 1 species